CGCUGCGGUGGCCAUCUUGUGGCGGGCUGCGGCAUGGCGGCCACCCCGUGCAGCGAGGCCCUGGCCCGUUCCCCUUUACCUCGGGGUGACGAAGUCUGUCUGAGGCCUUUCAGCACCGACUCUUAACGCUUUGCUAAGACAGGGGCAGAAAGGUUUUUAUCUCCCAUUGGAGUCACCCAGAGCCCAAUCAUGGAGUUAGUCUUACAAGGAAUAAUCUUUCUUCAGAGCUGAGGUAUGGUGAAGUUUACAUAGCAGAAUUAGAAGACCUACCCAACUUGUGAAUGUGUCAUUAAAUCCAACUUUAGUCUACCAUCUUCCUAAAUUCUGUUCAUUUCUCAAUUGAAGUUAUCUACUUCCUACACGUGAUUUUUGUACUUCUGUGACAUAAGCACUAACAUCAGGAAACAAUUUCUUGCUGUGAGGGUGACCUAGCACUGAAACAGGUUAUCCAGAGGCUAUAGAGUCUCCUCCUUGGAGAUACUCAGAAAUCAGGAAAAUCAGAACCUUCCCCUCCUCUUUAUCUAGUGAGGAUGUAUCAAGCUGUAGCUCAAUAUGUAGUAUGAACAUGGACCUGGUUCAGAGAAAGAUGUUCGGGAUGGCCCUGUUUGAGCAGGGGUUGGAUCUCCAGAUGAUCUGACCUGCAGAGGUCCCUACCAGUCAAACCCAUACUGUGAUUUUGUGACAUACUUUGGGGAUCAAAAACACCACAUUGUAACCUCUGGUUCUGCUUUCUUUAUUGGCAAGCAAGGGAGUCCCUGAUUCGUCUCUCAUUCCUCUUUUAUUUUGAACAAUUGUUGUUAAACUUACUGAAGGUUAGGACCUCUCCUGUGAAUUGAGAGACUGGGGAGGAAUCAAUUCUUGAGGGUGAGAAAAUUAAACCUGGACUUUCACUAUCUUAGUGCUUAUGUCAUGAAGCUGCUGUAGAACAAAUAGCACUACAGUUCUAGGAAAGCUAUGACUUUCAUAACUUUUUUGACUUGAUCAGUAGGUGAUGGCUUCAAAGCAGAAUGCUAACACCUAAUUCUGGAUUGCGGGCAGGCAAACUAAUACUAAGCUGUUAAAGCUCUGUCAAGAUGUAAGUGCUUUGGGGUAGAAGUCUAAUGAAUUUUACAUGUUUAAAAUCUUAAGAUAGAAACCAAAGGUACUGUUGACAUUUAGGUGGUUAGCACACCAGAGGAGGCUUGCAAACUUCUUCUGUUGUGCGCUUGACACAGUGUACUCUGAUGUAGAACAAGAUGACAUUUUCAAAGAGAAGGAAACUGGAUUGGUCCAAAGUAAUUCUGUGGAUGUUUACACUCUUCUUGGCCAAAAGGGGAACUUAAAAGAUGUUUGGGAAUCUUCUCAUCUCCCUGCUGUCAAACAUUACUUUAUUUACUUAACAAAAAACUGAUAUAUGUGCCAAGAGUCACGGCUCAUUUUGUAAGGGUAGAUUCCUUAAAGACUGAACCUAAUACAUGUCAAGAUUCAGAAGAACAAAAAGGUGCUACUGACAAUUAAAAAAAAAAAAAAAAAAGCAAGACAGAUUUUUCCAUUAGAAGCUGAAGUUUUAUUACAGGAUAACAGUACAUAAAGCACAUCUAAAAUCGAUGUGUUCAAUGCACUUAAUAAAGGUAAUGUAAUAUUAAAGGUACAGUUUCUAAGUACAAUAUAACAACAUUCAUAUUAGAAUGAAAAUUGGAGUAUUUAAAAGACAACAUUAAAUCUCUUAUUUUUACAGUCAUAUUUACAAAAUGAAUCAAAAUACUUUUUUAUCGGGACUGAGUAAAAUAACAAACUGGAAUAUAAGCAGGCUAUCAUAAGAGUGAGUUGGAAAGGUCCAUGAAAGUGAAAAGUUAAGUGACUGGGUAAAGAUCAUUAGCAAAGGUUUAGUACAAUACCACUUUAGUAUUCCUCUUGAUGGCU